AUUGAACGCUGGCGGCAGGCCUAACACAUGCAAGUCGAACGGUAACAGGAAACAGCUUGCUGUUUCGCUGACGAGUGGCGGACGGGUGAGUAAUGUCUGGGAAACUGCCUGAUGGAGGGGGAUAACUACUGGAAACGGUAGCUAAUACCGCAUAACGUCGCAAGACCAAAGAGGGGGACCCUCGGGCCUCUUUCCAUCGGAUGUGCCCAGAUGGGAUUCGCUUGUUGGUGGGGUAACGGCUCACCAAGGCGGCGAUCCCUAGCUGGUCUGAGAGGAUGACCAGCCACACUGGAACUGAGACACGGACCAGACUCCUACGGGAGGCAGCAGUGGGGAAUAUUGCACAGUGGGCGCAAGCCUGAUGCAGCCAUGCCGAGUGUAUGAAGAAGGCCUUCGGGUUGUAAAGUCCUUUCAGCGGGGAGGAAGGGAGUAAAGUUAAUACCUUGGCUCAUUGACGUUACCCGCAGAAGAAGCACCGGCUAACUCCGUG
rnacentral:rRNA from 1 species